GGUUUCGUAGCUCAGUUGGUUAGAGCGUACGGCUGUUAACCGUAAGGUCGCUGGUUCGAUCCCAGCCGAGACCG